rnacentral:misc_RNA from 1 species
GAUGAAGAACGUAGCGAAAUGCGAUAAGUAAUGUGAAUUGCAGAAUUCAGUGAAUCAUCGAAUCUUUGAACGCACCUUGCGCCCUUUGGACUUCUGAAGGGCAUGCCUGUUUGAGUAUCAUGAACACCUCAACUCCUUAUGGUCUUCCAUGAUGAGCUUGGACUUUGGGGGUUUUGCUGGCCUACAGUCAGCUCCUCUAAAAUAAAUCAGCUUACCGGUGUUUGGUGGGUAUCAUGGGUGUGAUAACUAUCUACGCUCGUGGUUUUCCACCAGGUAACCUUCAGCAGUGGAGGUUCACUGGAGCUCAUAGAUGUCUCUCCUCAGCGAGGACAGCCCUUUGAAUGUUUGAUCUCAAAUCAGGUAGGACUACCCGCUGAACUUAAGCAUAUCAAUAAGCGGAGG